rnacentral:rRNA from 1 species
CUGAGACACGGUCCAAACUCCUACGGGAGGCAGCAGUGGGGAAUAUUGCACAAUGGGCGAAAGCCUGAUGCAGCAACGCCGCGUGAGUGAUGAAGGCCUUCGGGUCGUAAAACUCUGUCCUCAAGGAAGAUAAUGACGGUACUUGAGGAGGAAGCCCCGGCUAACUACGUGCCAGCAGCCGCGGUAAUACGUAGGGGGCUAGCGUUAUCCGGAUUUACUGGGCGUAAAGGGUGCGUAGGCGGUCUUUCAAGUCAGGAGUGAAAGGCUACGGCUCAACCGUAGUAAGCUCUUGAAACUGGGAGACUUGAGUGCAGGAGAGGAGAGUGGAAUUCCUAGUGUAGCGGUGAAAUGCGUAGAUAUUAGGAGGAACACCAGUUGCGAAGGCGGCUCUCUGGACUGUAACUGACGCUGAGGCACGAAAGCGUGGGGAGCAAACAGGAUUAGAUACCCUGGUAGUCCACGCUGUAAACGAUGAGUAC